GUCCUAGGUGGCUCAGAUGGAUAGAGCGUCAGCCCGGUACGCUGGUGAACCCGGGUUCGAAUCCCGGUCGGGGCA